CCGAGCCCUCGCCGUGAGGGAAAGGAGAUAUUGGUCCUCCUCUGACGUAUCUGGUGACCAGGACGAGAACGCUGGGGCAUCGUGCUCUCUCGGCGGCCGGCAGGGGCAUUCUGGGAAAACUGGCCGAGGCCACCUAAAGGCUUUGGGAAUAGAUAAGAAAGAGAAUGGCUGACCUCUGGAUUUCCAGGUUUGUGAGAGCCUCGUGAGGUUGAGAAAAGACCAAGUGAUUGGAGCCUCACUGUAAAGAUAAAGGAAGAUUAUUCAACCCUCCAGUGGUACUUGCCAAGAGAUACAGAAGUCUGGAUCUGCAAUGAGGCUGCAAGGUGAUUUCUGAUCAGUGAAGAAUAGAGUUGGAGUUUUAAAAAGGAGGAAUCUAGAUCUUAAAUGCCCCGGGUUCAAACCCAGGUCCCCUGACAUGGAGCAGAAUACUGCAGAAAGCGCCAGUAUGCAGUGGAUCCUCUUCAUAAGGCCCUGCCAGAAAUAUCCCCAGUACUGACUGCCAGAACUGGAGAGGAUUUAUCGCUACCAGAUAAAACUGGCCAGCACAAUUCAAACACCUGGGCAAUUUUGCCUUAUCUUCCUAGAAUGAAACAGAAGUCAAAUGAAAAUGAAAGAAGUUAAAAAAGUACACGGACUUCAUUUAAAGCCUGGAGAUUCAAAGAGAGGAAACUGAAGCAUGGAAUCAGAAGAUCCCCCAUUUCCGAGGAUGCUCUGAUUUUAUAAAUCAAGUUGGUACUCUCCCUGGUGUGAAAGACACUUCAAGCUCAUAUCCAGCAGGACAGUUUAUGGGGCUUCCAAAGGGGAUUUGUUUUUGUCCAUUUGGCCGGAAUCUUCAUACCAUAAAUCUAUGAUAAUUACACAAGUGGGGAUCAGAAUAUCCACCUCCCAUAUGUUGACUGUAUGCUACUCAGCCUUAUACAAUAAGAAUACUAAUUUGUUGAAGUCCCAUUAAAACUCAUUUGCACAUUUUGA